rnacentral:rRNA from 1 species
GAUGAACGCUGGCGGCGUGCCUAAUACAUGCAAGUCGAGCGAACGGACGAGAAGCUUGCUUCUCUGAUGUUAGCGGCGGACGGGUGAGUAACACGUGGAUAACCUACCUAUAAGACUGGGAUAACUUCGGGAAACCGGAGCUAAUACCGGAUGAUAUUUUGAACCGCAUGGUUCAAAAGUGAAAGACGGUCUUGCUGUCACUUAUAGAUGGAUCCGCGCUGCAUUAGCUAGUUGGUAAGGUAACGGCUUACCAAGGCAACGAUGCAUAGCCGACCUGAGAGGGUGAUCGGCCACACUGGAACUGAGACACGGUCCAGACUCCUACGGGAGGCAGCAGUAGGGAAUCUUCCGCAAUGGGCGAAAGCCUGACGGAGCAACGCCGCGUGAGUGAUGAAGGUCUUCGGAUCGUAAAACUCUGUUAUUAGGGAAGAACAUAUGUGUAAGUAACUGUGCACAUCUUGACGGUACCUAAUCAGAAAGCCACGGCUAACUACGUGCCAGCAGCCGCGGUAAUACGUAGGUGGCAAGCGUUAUCCGGAAUUAUUGGGCGUAAAGCGCGCGUAGGCGGUUUUUUAAGUCUGAUGUGAAAGCCCACGGCUCAACCGUGGAGGGUCAUUGGAAACUGGAAAACUUGAGUGCAGAAGAGGAAAGUGGAAUUCCAUGUGUAGCGGUGAAAUGCGCAGAGAUAUGGAGGAACACCAGUGGCGAAGGCGACUUUCUGGUCUGUAACUGACGCUGAUGUGCGAAAGCGUGGGGAUCAAACAGGAUUAGAUACCCUGGUAGUCCACGCCGUAAACGAUGAGUGCUAAGUGUUAGGGGGUUUCCGCCCCUUAGUGCUGCAGCUAACGCAUUAAGCACUCCGCCUGGGGAGUACGACCGCAAGGUUGAAACUCAAAGGAAUUGACGGGGACCCGCACAAGCGGUGGAGCAUGUGGUUUAAUUCGAAGCAACGCGAAGAACCUUACCAAAUCUUGACAUCCUUUGACAACUCUAGAGAUAGAGCCUUCCCCUUCGGGGGGGACAAAGUGACAGGUGGUGCAUGGUUGUCGUCAGCUCGUGUCGUGAGAUGUUGGGUUAAGUCCCGCAACGAGCGCAACCCUUAAGCUUAGUUGCCAUCAUUAAGUUGGGCACUCUAAGUUGACUGCCGGUGACAAACCGGAGGAAGGUGGGGAUGACGUCAAAUCAUCAUGCCCCUUAUGAUUUGGGCUACACACGUGCUACAAUGGACAAUACAAAGGGCAGCGAAACCGCGAGGUCAAGCAAAUCCCAUAAAGUUGUUCUCAGUUCGGAUUGUAGUCUGUAACUCGACUACAUGAAGCUGGAAUCGCUAGUAAUCGUAGAUCAGCAUGCUACGGUGAAUACGUUCCCGGGUCU